rnacentral:tRNA from 1 species
AACGCUAUGGCUCAGUGGUCUAAGCGCCUAACGCAGCUCGGUCAAGAGGCAGCGGGUUCGACUCCCGUCUGCGUUG